GACAAACGCUGGCGGCAUGCCUAACACAUGCAAGUCGAACGGAGUUUAAUUGACAGAAGCCUUCGGGCAGAAGACGAUUAAACUUAGUGGCGGACGGGUGAGUAACGCGUGGAUAACCUGCCUUAUAGAGGGGGACAACAGUUGGAAACGACUGCUAAUACCGCAUAAGGUCUCGAGACCGCAUGAUCUUGAGAAGAAAGAUGGCCUCUGAAAAUGCUAUCGCUAUAAGAUGGAUCCGCGUCUGAUUAGCUAGUUGGUGAGGUAACGGCCCACCAAGGCAACGAUCAGUAGCCGGCCUGAGAGGGUGAACGGCCACAUUGGGACUGAGACACGGCCCAAACUCCUACGGGAGGCAGCAGUGGGGAAUCUUCCGCAAUGGGCGAAAGCCUGACGGAGCAAUGCCGCGUGAAUGAAGAAGGCCUUCGGGUCGUAAAAUUCUGUCCUUAUUGAAGAGAGGUUCAUGUGUAAACAAUGCAUGAACAGGACGGUAGAUAAGGAGGAAGCCCCGGCUAACUACGUGCCAGCAGCCGCGGUAAUACGUAGGGGGCGAGCGUUGUCCGGAAUCACUGGGCGUAAAGGGCGCGUAGGCGGCCUAGUAAGUCAGAUGUGAAAAGUGAGGGCUCAACCCUUAGAGUGCAUCUGAUACUGCUAGGCUUGAGUACAGAAGAGGAAAGCGGAAUUCCUAGUGUAGCGGUGAAAUGCGUAGAUAUUAGGAGGAACACCAGUGGCGAAGGCGGCUUUCUGGGCUGAAACUGACGCUGAGGCGCGAAAGCGUGGGGAGCAAACAGGAUUAGAUACCCUGGUAGUCCACGCCGUAAACGAUGGGUACUAGGUGUCGGGGGUAUCGAUACCCUCGGUGCCGGAGUAAACACAAUAAGUACCCCGCCUGGGGAGUACGAUCGCAAGAUUGAAACUCAAAGGAAUUGACGGGGGCCCGCACAAGCGGUGGAGCAUGUGGUUUAAUUCGACGCAACGCGAAGAACCUUACCAAGACUUGACAUCCUGCUGACGGAUUGGGUAAUGCGAUCGUUCUACUUCGGUAGACAGCAGAGACAGGUGGUGCAUGGUUGUCGUCAGCUCGUGUCGUGAGAUGUUGGGUUAAGUCCCGCAACGAGCGCAACCCUUGUCUUUAGUUGCCAGCAUUAAGUUGGGCACUCUAAAGAGACUGCCGGUGACAAACCGGAGGAAGGUGGGGAUGACGUCAAAUCAUCAUGCCCCUUAUGUCUUGGGCUACACACGUGCUACAAUGGUCGGUACAAAGGGCAGCGAGACCGCGAGGUGGAGCGAAUCCCAAAAAGCCGAUCCCAGUUCGGAUUGCAGGCUGCAACCCGCCUGCAUGAAGUCGGAAUCGCUAGUAAUCGCAGGUCAGCAUACUGCGGUGAAAUACGUUCCCGGGCCU
rnacentral:rRNA from 1 species